CCCACAUAGAAAUAGGCUUCACCCGAAGACUUUAGAAGCUUUAAUGUGUGCUCGAGAUUGGCUUUGGUCUGAUAUUCAUGAAAAUUCUGGUCCUUCAUCAUAUUCCGGAGCUUGUGCAAAGUUUGAUGACGAGGAUGUUGACGAAGAGGAAUCGACUUUGAGUUUUGACGGAUGCCAGUAAGAGUUGUGGAGAAGAAUGAAGAUUGAAUAUGAAUUGAAGUUGAAGCUUUUUGAGUUAUUGAAUAUUGUUUGUUAAAUUUGGAUUUUGCGUUUG